rnacentral:sRNA from 1 species
UGGCGGACUCUGGGAAGCGGGUGUCAA